rnacentral:rRNA from 1 species
UACAGGGGGUGCAAACGUUGCUCGGAAUCAUUGGGCGUAAAGCGCACGUAGGCGGUUCGUUAUGUCGGAUGUGAAAGCCCUUGGCUUAACCGAGGAAGUGCAUCCGAAACUGGCGAGCUAGAGUACUAAAGAGGAUCGCGGAAUUCCCGGUGUAGAGGUGAAAUUCGUAGAUAUCGGGGAGGAACACCGGUGGCGAAGGCGGCGAUCUGGGAAGAUACUGACGCUGAGGUGGCGAAAAGCGUGGGGAGCAAACAGG